GACGGAAUCAAAACAAACCCAGCAACAAAACUGAAGGGGAGAAGAGUGGGGGGGGUGGGGAAGGAUUGCUUCAAGGAUCUAGGUGUAGCGAACUUUUUCAGGAACCUGCUACAAACAUCAGCAUUAAGAAGAUACAGUAAUUUUCAGUACAAUGUGGGGGAGGCUCAGAACUAAGCUGCCAAGAUAAUGUGGUGAACCUCGAGGACCAGGCUAAGAUGCACUGCUUGGAGCCACUCACUGAUUUUUAGUGACUUAAGAAAUCAAAGACGUGAGAGAGAAGUGACUUCUGUGAUGUCCUGUUUGCAAAUGGGAGAAAUGGGACUUUCCAGGCUUCCCACAACAUUAUGCUGCCAGGCCUGCUGAGUUUCUCCAGCAUCUGUGUGUGUUUCAGAUCUUCAGCAUCUGCAGGAUGAGGCAUUUGCUUACCAAAGAAAAUGCUCUGUUUGGACUUCACUAGAAAACCCCUGAAUCCCACCUCCACAGUCAAUUGAUAUCUCUUGGCAUUACCACGCAAAACUAAAAGUGUAUAGAACUGAGGAGAAAGGAUAUCCUUUGCAAAUAAGAUGCAAAGCAAAUAGACUGUGAAAUUGCCCAAUUCCCCUACGUUUGUAACUUUGAAAAAUAGUUACUGACAAUUAUUUAAAUAAAUUAUAAAAUGAAAGACAGACUGGUGAAUAUCAUGUAAAUGAUUGAAUAUUUCAUAAUUCGCGCUGACAACACAUGGGCUUUAAUACAAAGCACAGAUUACAGGCGCCUUUUCAUUCUGUAAAUGAAUGACAUGCAUUUAUUCAAAAUAUGUAAACAAGGGAAGAAAAUUAACAAGGCCCAUAAUAUUAUAAAUGUGCAAUCCUUCUAUUAAAAAAUCGUUUGCAAUUGUGAA